rnacentral:misc_RNA from 1 species
AACACUGUUAACCUGCGGUACCUGCGGAGGGAUCAUUAGUGAAAUAUACAAUUGGGAAAGUGCUAACUUUGCAAAAAGGACGCCUUUCUUUCAAUCAAUAUACACUUUUCACACACACUGUGCACUUGUUUCAUUUUACUUUAACCAAACUUGUUUCGGUUAAUUUAAAAACACACUGGUGAUAAAAUUGUUUAAAAGUCCAAGUUGAUAAAUUUGAUAAAACGAAAGUAAAACUUUUAA